CCGGUGGGCCCCGCAAUCGAUGCUAAACAUUUUUUUUUAGAUGAACAGGGAGGCUCCUCCCUGGUUCGAUUACCAGAAUGGUCUCUGCCUCAUACAUCAGCUCACUGAGAGGAGCGGUUCAGUAAAAGGAGAACUGAAAGUAGAGAUGAGUUCUUCUCUGUUAACCACGAGCGCCAUGGAGGCUCCGAUGAGCUCUUCCCUGGGUGCCAUGGGCCCCCUUCUCAGGAAGCUGCAUUCGCUGCUGGCCCCCGACCACCGGCUGCCCAAGCCACUGAAGCACGGAAUCGAGCUCCUCAAGGAAGAUCUCGAAGAAUUAAGCGCCGACCUGUUGGAGCAGUCAAUGGCGGAUACCCCCAACCACAAGGCGGUAUACUGGAUGGAUGAGGUGCGUGAACUUUCCUAUGAAGUAGAGGACUGCAUCGACGACAUGAUGCUGAGGCACGCCGGCGACGGGGUCAAGACCAGAGCCGUCCGCAGCCACAGGGUCAGUCGUGUCAAGGUGUAUCGGCUUUUCAAAUCACUGAAGCCGAGCACAAGGGUUUCCAAGAUCACAGAGCUCAGGACCCUGGUGCUGGAGGCGAGUGAACGACGUGAGAGGUAUCAUCUUGAUGACUGUGCUUCACGUUCUAGCCCUGUGUUCACUAGGCACAAUCCGGUUCCAGGCCUAUAUGGACAGGCCACGGAUUUCCUUGUUGGUAUCGAUGACCUGAAGAUUAAGCUUACCAAGUGGCUUACUGAGGAUGCUGAUCAACAACUGAAAGUGAUGUGUAUAGAUGGACCUGCAGGGGUUGGCAAGACCACGCUGGCUAAACAGCUGUACUGUGAGCUUGGAGAGCAGUUCGACUGCUGGGCUUUUGUGCGGGCAUCGCGAACGUCAGACACAAAGAGACUACUUGGGGACAUCCUCUCUCAAGUUCAGCAUUGUCGACUACCCUCUUAUUCUUGCGAGGUGCAAAAUCUCAUUGACAAUCUCACAAAAUAUCUCCAAGAUAAGAGAUACUUUAUAGUCAUUGAUGAUCUGUGGGAAACAACAUGGGAUAUUGUUAAAAGCGCUUUUCCAGAUGGUAAUAAUUACAGCAGAAUAAUAACAACAGCAGAAACAGACGGUGUAGCUCUGGAAUGCUGUGGUUCUCAGUCUGAUAAUAUUUUGAAGAUGAAACCCCUUGGCAGCCAUGCCUCUGCAGAAUUGUUCUUCAGUAUUGUUUGUGGCUCUGAACAUCGGUGUCCUGAUCAAUUGAAGGAAGUUUCAUAUAGAUUCAUUGGAAAGUGUGGUGGUUUGCCACUAGCAACCAUUUGUAUUGCUGGUCUCUUAGCCAGUCAGACGGACAACUCUGAGCUAUGGCAUCAUCUGCAGAAAUGUUUAUGCUCCAAUUUAAGUACAAGUCCUACUUUGGAAGAGAUGCUGAAAGAAGUACUAAACCUUAGCUACAGUUGUCUUCCUCAUUAUUUGAAGACAUGCUUGCUGUAUCUUGCUAUGUAUCCAGAGGGGUUCACGAUGUGGAAGGUUGAUUUGUUGAAGCAAUGGAUAUCUGAAGGUUUCAUUACUGCAAAGGAAGAAAAAGAGGUGGAGGAAAUUGCAGAUAGCUAUUUUUAUGAGCUUGUCAACAAGGGAAUGAUCCAACCUGAGCAAAUUAACCACAAUGAUGAGGUGUUAUCCUGUACAUUGCACCACACUGUACGUGAUCUUAUUAUGUACAAGUCCAAAGAAGAGAAUUUUAUCACUUCCAUAGAUUACUCAAAAGCCAUCACAGGAAAUUCUAAUAUGGUUCGUCGACUUUCUCUCCACUUUAGCAGUGCCAAAUAUGCGACCAAACCAUCAGGUGUAAUACUGUCGCAAUCGCGAUCACUUUUCUUUUUUGGACUUCUCAGAUGUUUGCCUUCUGAUGUGGAAUUUAAGUUGCUGCGAGUAUUAAUCCUUGACUUUUGGGGCAACCAAUAUGGGCAUACGAGUCUCAACCUCACAAGAAUUUGCAGUUUGGUUCACCUCAGAUAUUUGAAGAUUUCAUGCGAUAUCAUUGUAGAACUGCCAGCCCAGAUGCGAGGACUACAAUACAUGGAAACACUGGAAAUAAAUGCAAGAUUAUCUGCUGUUCCAUUGGAUAUUAUUCAUCUCCCGAGCUUAUUGCAUCUCUCUCUUCGAGAUGAGACAAAUCUACCUGAUGGGAUUGGCCGCAUCAGGUCUCUGCGUACACUACAGUAUUUUGACCUUGGCAAUAACACUGAAGACAAUGUACUGAGCCUGGGUGGCCUGAUGAACCUGCAGUAUCUUCAUCUCACCUAUUCCACAGUGCAGUCUGAUGAGCAUCUGAAGAGAAACAUGGUUGCUCUGGCCUCUUCUGUUAUCAAGCUUGUUAACCUCAAAUCUGUCAUUCUGGCUCCUGGAGCUUUAAGCACAGCCAUUUACCAUGAUGUCCUGAGCAGCGUUUAUUCUCCUCCUGUUUUUCUUCAGGGUCUUCAGAAACUUGAUUUGUUGCCCCCAAUUUGCAUGUUUUCCAGUUUUCCCAAGGAUAUUGGAGCAGUUCGCAAACUUUGCUAUUUGAAUCUUGUGGUCCGUGAACUACGAAGGAAUGAUAUUGACAGCAUCACAGGAUUGCCUGCCCUAACUGUUCUUUCAUUGUAUGUCCGGCAACCCCCUGCAGAAAGCAUCAUCUUCAACAAUGGGGCGUUCCCUGCUCUCAAGUAUUUCAAAUACAUGUGCGGUGUACUGUGCCUGGCCUUCCAGGAAGGAGCAUUGCCCAAUGUUCAUAGGCUCAAACUAGGUUUCAAUGCCCGCAAAGGACAGCAGUAUGAUGUUUUGCUUGCCGGCAUUCAGCACUUGGUAAACCUGAAGAAGAUUGAUGGAAUAAUUGGGGCAGCCGAGGGUGCUGAGGAACCCGACAGAAGUGCUGCAGAGUCUGCGUUCAAGGAUACCAUUCACAAGCAUUCAAGGUUUCCUAGUUACGUCAACGUAAAAAGGGUAGAUUGGGUUGAGGAAGAGAACGAGCCAAGGACCGAAGUUAACAGCUCAUCAAGUAAAUGUCAUGAAAUUCUACAAGAACAGCGUGGGGUAAAUGAGACCGAGGAAGAUACAAAGCAGUUUGCUGAUAGCGGGGUGACAAAUCAGAUCAUGCAGAUGUCUCCUCAGCAUAUGGAUUUAUGCGCAGCCGAUACAAAGCUGACUAUGCCUAGUAAUAACAGAAUGUCAUUUCCUGAAAAGUUACAUGAUAAUAUUGCAGCUGAAGCAGUGAGCUUUUCAUGUACUACAUCAUCUGGUUCAAGUCCAAAAUCGUCGUCAGCUCCAUCAUCUCAUCACUCUUUACCUGAAACAUAUACAUGGGAUCCGGAGGGAUCUCCUUGGUCAAGGGCAUUGAGUCCUCCUACGCCAAGGAAUACCAGUGCCCCUCAAUCAGCUAUGCAUCCGAUGUUAUCCCCAGAAGAUCAUAUUUCACGCGCUGAAGGCACCUGGAGUACUGCCUAUUUUCACCCCUUACCACUUCCUCCCAGUGCUAUAAGCCAAGUGAAAGCAACUCUCAGCAACCAACCUGCUCCAAAAGUUGAAAUGUCCUUAGUAGCUGGUCAAUGGGAAAAGAGAAAACUUAUAGGCAGUGGUACAUUUGGUGAUGUAUAUGAAGCUACCAACAGGCAUACUGGAGCUCUUUGUGCAGUGAAAGCGAUCAGUAUUCCUAAUGAUUCUAGAUCUGCUGAGUCCUUGAAGCAAUUAGAUCAGGAAAUAAAGCUUCUAAGCCAAUUUAAGCAUGAGAACAUAGUCCAGUAUUAUGGUAGCGAAACUAUAGAAGGCCACCUCUACAUUUACAUGGAGUAUGUUCAUCUUGGUUCAAUUAAUAAGUAUAUCCAACAACAUUGUGGAGCAAUAACAGAAUCGAUUGUCGGCAACUUCACUCACCAUAUUCUUAGGGGUUUAGCGUUUUUGCAUGGCCAAAAUAUUAUGCAUAGGGAUAUCAAAGGAGCAAAUAUGCUAAUUGAUGGUAACGGUGUUGUUAAAUUGGCUGACUUUGGAACGGCUAAGCAUUUAAGUACUGCAGCCCCUAAUCUUUCAUUGAAGGGAACACCAUAUUGGAUGGCCCCAGAGAUGAUUCGGGCUACACUUGUUAAAGACGUAGGCUAUGAUCUUGCUGUUGAUAUCUGGAGUCUUGGUUGCACCAUUAUCGAGAUGUUCAAUGGAAAACCUCCUUGGAGCGGUCUUGAAGGGCCUGCUGCAAUGUUCAAGGUUUUGAAUAAGGACCCACCACUUCCUGACAAUUUAUCACAUGAGGCAAAGGAUUUUCUGAAAUGCUGUUUCAAGAGGAAUCCAGCAGCAAGGCCAAGCGCAAGGGAGUUGUUGACCCAUCCGUUUAUCAGGAAUUCAAGUCAUUACAGCAAGCAUGUUCAAGAAGUCAUUAUUGCAGGCUGUGAGGAAGUCAUUCGAGCAAGCUGUGACCCAUCCUUGACAAGGAAAACUACAACUAGUGGAGGAAAUGAUGCCAGGUCUUCCGAAUCAUUAGUUUCACAGUUAACUCUGCAACCAGUCCAGCAUGGUAGAAAGUUCUGAAUCUGCAGACUGCAAGCCCUCUACUUAUUGGUUUCAGUAGUCUGGCGUUGGGGAAACACCACUUAACGAUAUUCUGGUUCCUGCAGCAGAAUAUUUCUCCAAGUACCCCCACCAUAAGGACACCUCAUCUGAGGGCCUCUUCCACUCGUCUGCUUGGUAGCUCAACUGCUCGCCUCAACGCCUCUGCAUUCCUUCUCGAAUCCUCGAGCGACCAUGCCGCCUGCCCUGUUUCCCCAUCCUAAGCAUGGUUCUGCCAGUCUCUCCUCCGAUCCCAUUCCAUCCCAGCGAAGCAAAGAAGUUAAAAGGCACGGUGCCAUUUGGAAUGAGAUUGAGCGAGCGUGGCGGACGGAGCGGCUGGAGCAAGAUGGCACGACGGUUAACGGAGGGACAAGAUGGAGGUAGAAGAGAUGAGGUGACAGAGUAGGAGGAGAGGCACGGCAGCAACAUGAGCCAAGGAAAAGCUUUAGCGUUCCCUUGUCUACAGCAAAGGCGGCAGCGAGGUGGCUGGAGAAGGGGAAGGAGGUUGUAGCCCCAGAGGGGAAGGGGCGGCAUCGAGUACGGCGAGUUUUUCAUGUUGCCAUCACGUUUGGCCACACAGCUGCCUUCCAGCUCUCUGACCAGGCUGCUGGCACCGCGCCCUGGGCUCAUACCAUGAUUUUUUUAAACUGAGCCACCAUGUGAUCCUCUUCCCCCCAGGGCGACGCCAGGGGCACCAUCUCCUCCACGCACCCGACCUCCCACGGGGCAGAUCCCUGCCGCCGGCUCUGGCCGCGGUGGUGGCGGCACCCGACGCCUUUAGGCCUAGGGCAGGAGAGUUGCGUCGGAUCUCCCAUGAGGCGGCUGGGACGCCUCGUGGGGGGUUUCCUCGCGCGGCAGCCAUGGCGGCGUCCUGGCUGUGUGGCGGCAACCGGUGAAGCCAUGGAUGGCGUGGUGCUCUGGUGGGAUCAUCUGCUAUGCGAUGGGCGGUGGUCGUGGAUCUGGCGUCCCGGCCAGAUCUGCCGUGGUUCAGCUUUGGCCGGCCAGCGACGCGUGAUGUGGCCGGGGUGGGGCGGCUGGAGGUCCUCAACCGACUUUCCGACGACACCGUGCGUCUUUAUGGCAAGGGUGUGCUCGGAUCUAGUCAGCGGCGAGACCGUGGUGGCACUACUUUCGAUGAAAAUCGCGCCGACUUCGGUCAUGGCGGGCGAUGAUGGCGUCUCUGACGCCAUCUCCUUGUUGAGGCAUCGUCGUUGCAAGCUGCGUCAACAUGAUCGGGAUGUCCGGGGAAAACCCUAGAUUUGGGUCUACCGGAUCGAACGAUGAUGGCGCCUUCGGUGUCGUUCUUCCUCCUGGGGGCAUCGUUUUGGAGCAGGAGCUGGCUGGAGGGGACAAGAGGAGGAGCGGUGUUACAUCUACCGCAAGGCCGACGAUGGAUCCCGGCGGCAUGGCGCUGCAGAGUUUCGGUGACGGGCGCGUGUGGAUGGAUACGUGCAGGAUGGUGGCGUUGUCUGGCGCCGUGGUGGCGUCGACGACAGGCCUGGCAAGGUCGGUGCGUCAGUAUUUGCUCUGGAGAUGGAUCAAUGGAAGACGGCGGCGGUGACCUCAGAGAGUGCGCUGGACCGGUGUGUGACCUAGUCACGGUAUAUGGCUGGGCUGGGGCAUCCGGCUUUAGAUGUUAGGUUGUGCGAUGUCUGUUUGGUAUUAGGCUCGGACAUUCGGCACCCCUUCAUCAAGAGGAUAGGAGUAGCGACGGGUGUCGUCAAGAUGGUGGCUUCAGGCUUAUUGAUGUAUUACUUUGUAAGAUCAUUGUGAAUAAUUAAUAAAAUGGCUGCAUGCAUCGCCCAGAUGCAGAUGCAGAGGCCGGGGGUAUAUCCUCCUUUUAAUAAAAAAAUAUGAUCCUCUUCA